rnacentral:miRNA from 1 species
AUCUUGUUAAAAUGCAGAUUCAGAUUCAGCAAAUCUGGAGUGAGGCCUGAGAUUCUGCAUUUUUAGCAAGCUC